rnacentral:tRNA from 1 species
GAGGUGUAGCGCAGUUUGGUAGCGCACAUGGUUUGGGACCAUGGGGUCUGGGGUUCGAGUCCCUGAUGGCCCACCA